rnacentral:rRNA from 1 species
UACGUAGGGUGCGAGCGUUAAUCGGAAUUAUUGGGCGUAAAGGGCGCGUAGGCGAUCCGACAAGUCUGGUGUGAAAGCCCACAUGUUAACUGUGGAAGUGCAUUAGAAACUGUUGGAUUUGAGUUCAGGAGAGGAAGGCAGAAUUCCCGGUGUAGCGGUGAAAUGCGCAGAUAUCGGGAGGAACACCUAUGGCGAAGGCAGCUCGCUGGGACGUUACUGACGCUGAGACGCGAAAGCGUGGGGAGCAAACAGG